rnacentral:rRNA from 1 species
AGUGAACGCUGGCGGUAGGCCUAACACAUGCAAGUCGAACGGCAGCACAGUAAGAGCUUGCUCUUACGGGUGGCGAGUGGCGGACGGGUGAGGAAUACAUCGGAAUCUACUUUUUCGUGGGGGAUAACGUAGGGAAACUUACGCUAAUACCGCAUACGACCUACGGGUGAAAGCAGGGGAUCUUCGGACCUUGCGCGAUUGAAUGAGCCGAUGUCGGAAUAGCUAGUUGGCGGGGUAAAGGCCCACCAAGGCGACGAUCCGUAGCUGGUCUGAGAGGAUGAUCAGCCACACUGGAACUGAGACACGGUCCAGACUCCUACGGGAGGCAGCAGUGGGGAAUAUUGGACAAUGGGCGAAAGCCUGAUCCAGCCAUACCGCGUGGGUGAAGAAGGCCUUCGGGUUGUAAAGCCCUUUUGUUGGGAAAGAAAAGCAGCAGGUUAAUACCCCGCUGUUCUGACGGUACCCAAAGAAUAAGCACCGGCUAACUUCGUG